UAUAAACCAUUUGGGUAUUUUUGCUAUGUUUAACAAACUGGAGUACUUGACUUAUUUUUAAAAAAAUGGGUGAAUACAGAAACUAAAGAAAAAUCUCAUCACAUGGUAACUGGCCAUGCCUGAUGCAUCGCGGUACAGAAAAAGCAUUUCUGCAAAGAGUCCCAAACAUUCAGCAACUGUGAUAGAAAGUGUCUGUGGGCUCAUCGUUAGUCUAUCUCUGGGUUCAAUCUUGAGAGCUAGUGAUUGGUGGCAGGGACCAAUCCUGCUUUGAGGGAAACCAGUGUUUGGUGGAUCUAUAGAAGGGUCUCUGUCAGUUGCUACUGGGUUGUGUAAUCUGGAGUCAUUGAGAGCAGCCCCUCAUGCAUUAAAGCCUCAUGCAACCGUA